rnacentral:rRNA from 1 species
UACAGAGGGUGCGAGCGUUGUUCGGAAUUAUUGGGCGUAAAGGGCGCGUAGGCGGCGCGGUAAGUCACCUGUGAAAUCUCCUGGCUCAACUGGGAGCUUGCAGGCGAAACUGCCGUGCUGGAGUGUGGGAGAGGUGCGUGGAAUUCCCAGUGUAGCGGUGAAAUGCGUAGAGAUGUGGAGGAACACCAGUGGCGAAGGCAACUCUUUGGUCUGUAACUGACGCUGAGGCGCGAAAGCGUGGGGAGCAAACAGG